UAGCCCCUCAAGAUGAUCAAAAGGAAGCUGUGAGUGACUUCCCUUUUUCACGGGAAGAGUGUCACCAACUUCUCAAGAUGCUCAAAACGAAGGCUGUUUCAGCCAAUUUGGUCGGUAACAUUCCCAAUUAUGAAGAGCUUUCAGGACCUACAAUCGGGGAAGAUGAUUGGGAUGGGAACUGAGAGGGAGGGACUCUACCGACUCAACCUACCAAAGAAAGGAACAUGCAAUGUGGUGCACACCAACUCAGACAGUUUAUGGCAUGAACGACUUGGGCACCCUUCAAAUAAAGCGUCUUCAUUAUUUUCAUUUCUUGCAAAUAAAGCUUGUGAUUCAAGCUCUUGUUCUAUUUGUCCUUUAGCCAAACUUACUAGACAACCAUUUCCAUUAAGUACUACUCGUAGUGCAUCUUGUUUUGAUUUAAUUCACAUUGAUAUUUGGGGA